rnacentral:rRNA from 1 species
UGCGUAGGCGGUUUUACAAGUCAGGUGUGAAAGGCUAUGGCUCAACCAUAGUAAGCACUUGAAACUGUAUAACUUGAGUGCAGGAGAGGAAAGUGGAAUUCCUAGUGUAGCGGUGAAAUGCGUAGAUAUUAGGAGGAACACCAGUGGCGAAGGCGACUUUCUGGACUGUAACUGACGCUGAUGCACGAAAGCGUGGGGAGCGAACA